rnacentral:rRNA from 1 species
CCUACGGGUGGCAGCAGUGGGGGAUAUUGGUCAAUGGGGGAAACCCUGAUCCAGCGACGCCGCGUGAGUGAAGAAGUAUUUCGGUAUGUAAAGCUCUAUCAGCAGGGAAGAAAGAAAUGACGGUACCUGAGUAAGAAGCCCCGGCUAACUACGUGCCAGCAGCCGCUGUAAUACGUAGGGGGCAAGCGUUAUCCGGAAUUACUGGGUGUAAAGGGAGCGUAGACGGGAAUGCAAGUCUGGAGGGAAAGGCCGGGGCCCAACCCCCGGACUGCCUUGGAAACUGUGUAACUGGAGUGCAGGAGAGGUAGGCGGAAUGCCUAGUGUAGCGGUGAAAUGCGUAGAUAUUAGGCGGAACACCAGUGGCGAAGGCAGCAUGCUGGACUCUAUCUGACGUUGAGGCUCGAAAGCGUGGGGAGCAAACAGGAUUAGAUACCCUAGUAGUC